UACAGAGGUCUCAAGCGUUGUUCGGAUUCAUUGGGCGUAAAGCGCGUGUAGGCUGCUUCGCAAGUCGGAUGUGAAAGCCCUGGGCUCAACCCAGGAAGUGCAUUCGAAACUGCAGAGCUGGAGUCCUGGAGAGGAAGGCGGAAUUCUCGGUGUAGAGGUGAAAUUCGUAGAUAUCGAGAGGAACACCGGUGGCGAAGGCGGCCUUCUGGACAGUGACUGACGCUGAGACGCGAAAAGCGUGGGGAGCAAACAGG
rnacentral:rRNA from 1 species